UGGGGAAUAUUGCACAAUGGGCGAAAGCCUGAUGCAGCGACGCCGCGUGAGGGAUUAAGGCCUUCGGGUUGUAAACCUCUUUCAGCAGGGAAGAAGCGAAAGUGACGGUACCUGCAGAAGAAGCACCGGCUAACUACGUGCCAGCAGCCGCGGUAAUACGUAGGGUGCGAGCGUUGUCCGGAAUUAUUGGGCGUAAAGAGCUUGUAGGCGGUUUGUCGCGUCUGCUGUGAAAUCUCAAGGCUCAACCUUGAGCUUGCAGUGGGUACGGGCAGACUAGAGUGUGGUAGGGGAGACUGGAAUUCCUGGUGUAGCGGUGAAAUGCGCAGAUAUCAGGAGGAACACCGAUGGCGAAGGCAGGUCUCUGGGCCACUACUGACGCUGAGAAGCGAAAGCAUGGGGAGCGAACA
rnacentral:rRNA from 1 species